rnacentral:lncRNA from 1 species
CCGGGAGGCAGAGGUUGCAGUGAGCUGAGAUGGUGCCCAGUCUGGGCGAUAAAGCGAAAUUCCAUCUCAAAAAAAAAAAAAAAAAAGCAAAAGAAAACAAUUUGAUAUUUCAGAACAGCAUCUCACUUUGCACAUGUGAACUGGGCACCAUAAUCAUUUCAGCGCUUGGGUCCGCUGUGGGCUAGAAUCCAUUGCUGGGAUUGGUGAAGAUGGGAUCUGAGAUGGGAAAAUCGGUAAUGGGCUUGGUUUCAGCCAUGUGAACUCCAGGUACCCUGAAGAGCCAUCCAGAACACAGCCGGAAAUUCUGAGGGAGGAAGUGGGAGCUGGAGGUGGGGCUUGGUGGUCACAGUACAGAAACUUGAGCUUCAGGAACCAUAUAGAGCUUAUGAAGAGACCCCAAAUAAAGAACAGUGCUCAUCUCGGGGAAAUGGAUUUAUGGUUUUUGCGUUUUGUCUCAUUUUGAGACAAGAUCUUGCACUGUCGCCCAGGCUGGAGUGAGUGCAGUGGGGGAUCACAGCUCACUGCAACCUCGACCUCCUGGACUCAAGAUCCUCAGCCUCCAGAGUAGCUGGGACUACAGGCACACACCACCAUGUCCUGCUAAGUAUUUUCUUUUUUGUAGAGACGGUGACGGGGAUGGGGUCUCACUGUGUUGCCCAGGCUGGCCUCAAGCCCCUGGCCUCAAGGUUUCCUCCCUCCUCAGCCUGUCAAAGUGCUGGGAUUACAGGCAUAAGCCACCGCACCAGGCCUGGAAUUACAAUUUUUUUUCUUU